GGGGGCAUGGUAGAGUGGCAACACGUGGCAUUCGCAUUGCCAAGACCCGGGUUCGAUUCCCGGUGCCUCCA
rnacentral:tRNA from 2 species